GAGCCAGUCAAGAAGGUGAUCCAAACAAACAUGAUUCUUUGGUUAAACCUCCUUCUCUUCUUGAGAGCUCUCCCAGGCUGUCACUCAGAGGUUCAGUUGGUGGAGACUGGAGGAGGCGCUGUAGCUCCUGGAGGCUCCCUCCGCCUCUCCUGCAAGGUUUCAGGAUUCACCUUUGCUGAUUAUGUAAUCCACUGGAUUCGUCAGGCUCCCGGACAAGGACUAGAGUGGGUGGCUUUAGUUAGCCAACCUUCAGGAAGCAAACAAUUCUAUAAUUCCAAAGUUCAAGGACGAUUCACCAUCUCCAGAGACAAUUCUCAAACCUCAGCCUAUUUGCAAAUGAGCAGCUUGAAGCCUGAGGACUCUGCCGUGUAUUACUGUGCAAGAGACACAGUGACAACUUCUGCUUUCCUGCUUGUACAAAAAGCUCUGCUUUGCAGCAUUUGCAGCUGGAAUGCAGGUGCUAAAGGAGCAUGCAUUGUCAACAAGACAGGAAGGAAAGCAAGCAGGGACCCCGUGAGGCAUCUCCCAUGUGAAAUGCACAAUACAUGA